rnacentral:tRNA from 1 species
GUUCAAGUCCCUCUAUCCCCAG